rnacentral:lncRNA from 1 species
AUAUAGAUUUGGAUUUUCUUUAGCUUUCAAACUCAUCGCAGCUAGUGCUUUUGGCAAAUUGUCCUCUGAUUAGAAUGAAUGAUCAAACCUAUUCCAACCCUCAAGGGCAGUAUGAUUGAACUUUCCACAUAUUUGACAUUUUACAAUGUUUUCUCCAUGUUGGUGAGUCGAGGUUUGUUUCCAAUGGACAUUUUUUGUAAUUUGCUCAUUCUUGUUGCCAUUGAAGUUAGAGAUUUGGUGAGAGUUUGGAUUGUACCUUGUUGCUAGAUUGAAUCGUC